GGAAUAUCAAGAAAACUAAAAAGCUUCUAACUUUUUUUUAAGCGGUUAAAAUCCGUUUAUAUUCCU
rnacentral:tRNA from 1 species